rnacentral:rRNA from 1 species
AACGAACGCUGGCGGCAUGCCUAACACAUGCAGGUCGAACGAUCCCUUCGGGGAUAGUGGCGCACGGGUGCGUAACGCGUGGGAAUCUGCCCUUGGGUUCGGAAUAACAGUUAGAAAUGACUGCUAAUACCGGAUGAAGUCUUCGGACCAAAGAUUUAUCGCCCAGGGAUGAACCCGCGUAGGAUUAGGUGGUUGGUGAGGUAAAGGCUCACCAAGCCGACGAUCCUUAGCUGGUCUGAGAGGAUGAUCAGCCACACUGGGACUGAGACACGGCCCAGACUCCUACGGGAGGCAGCAGUGGGGAAUAUUGGACAAUGGGCGCAAGCCUCAUCCAGCAAUGCCGCGUGAGUGAUGAAGGCCUUCGGGUCGUAAAGCUCUUUUACCCGGGAUGAUAAUGACAGUACCGGGAGAAUAAGCUCCGGCUAACUCCGUGCCAGCCGCCGCCGUAA